rnacentral:RNase_P_RNA from 3 species
CCGAGGCCGCUGGCGGCCACGGGGCCUCCAAGGCCCUGAGGAAGCUCCACCCUCCCCGCGGCGCCGGGGUCCCGCGAGGGACCGGGUUGAGAGCCCGGGCAACGGCACAGAAACGAGACCCCCCUCGGGGAGUCGUGAAGGGGAGGGCCCCCGGCGACGGGCGGCCCUACCCGGAGCGGUGAGCCGACGGGCGGGCUGAAACGGCCGCCCCCCGGGGAGCAAGGCCGUUGGGACCCGAGGAGGGCCGCGCGAGGGUCCCGGAGGGCCGCUCAGCCAAAUGCCGCCGCAGUACAGAAGGUGGGCUAUAGCGGCCUCGG